rnacentral:rRNA from 1 species
GAGCAGUGGAGGGAUAAGAAGAGAGAAUGCCGGAAUGAGUAGCGAGAGAAAGGUGAGAAUCCUUUCGGCCGAAUAUCCAAGGUUUCCAGGGUAAAGCUGAUCUGCCCUGGGUAAGUCGGGGCCUAAGGCGAGGCAGAAAUGCGUAGUCGAUGGACAGCAGGUUGAGAUUCCUGCACCCGUAAUGAACAGAACUGUAGUGACACGGAAGGUAAGACAGAGCCGGGAAUGAGAAAACCGGUGCAAGCACAAUAGAUGUGUGGGAGGAAAAACCCCCGCAUAAGUCGAAGGUGUGACGCGGACCGAAAAAGAGUAGGGAAGCUGUUAAGCAAGCCGUCAAGAAAAGCUGCUAUUGUUUCAUUAUGGCCCGUACCGUAAACCGACACAGGUGGAUGGGGAGAGAAUCCUAAGGCCGGCGGAAGAAGUAUUGUUAAGGAACUCGGCAAAAUGACCCCGUAACUUCGGGAGAAGGGGUGCCUGCGAGAGCAGGCCGCAGAGAAGAGGCCCAAGCAACUGUUUAGCAAAAACACAGGUCUAUGCAAAACCGAAAGGUGAGGUAUAUGGGCUGACGCCUGCCCGGUGCUGGAAGGUUAAGGGGAGUGGUCAGGAAACGAAGCCACGAACUUAAGCCCCAGUAAACGGCGGCCGUAACUAUAACGGUCCUAAGGUAGCGAAAUUCCUUGUCGGGUAAGUUCCGACCCGCACGAAAGGCGUAAUGAUUUGGGCACUGUCUCGACAAUGCACCCGGUGAAAUUGAAAUACCAGUGAAGAUGCUGGUUACCUGCGCCAGGACGGAAAGACCCCAUGGAGCUUUACUCUAGCUUGAUACUGGGGUUCGGUAUUGCAUGUACAGGAUAGGUGGGAGACUGAGAAGAUGUGUCGCCAGAUGCAUCAGAGUCGAUGUUGGGAUACCACCCCUGCAGUACUGGGCUUCUAACCUGCAGCCGUGACCCGGCUGGGGGACAAUGUCUGGUGGGGAGUUUGACUGGGGCGGUCGCCUCCGAAAGAGUAUCGGAGGCGCUCAAAGGUUCCCUCAGAAUGGUUGGAAACCAUUCGAAGAGCGCAAAGGCAGAAGGGAGCUUGACUGCGACACCGACGGGUGGAGCAGGUACGAAAG